AGGCUCAUAUUUCCAGCCUUGGCUGUUUUGCUGGCCGCCUCACUUAUCCCCCUUACGUUGGAAGGACCAGCAGACAACCUAAUGUUUUAUGACCAAAUCAAUGUCUGCCAUAAAAGCUGGUGGGCCCUUCCGCUUCUAGUCAACAACUUCAAGAGAAUAGAAGAGACGUGUCUGAUUCAUCUAUGGUACAUAUCAGUAGACAUGCAGGUCAUCAUAUUCGUGGCAUUACCUUUGGCCAUUAUCAUGAUACACCGACCACGCAUAACAUUCCUCCUCGGAGCCGUUCUUGGGAUCAUAGGGUGCAUCUUGACGGGCUAUCUGACGUACAAAUGGGACCUCUUGUUUUCUCUCACUCCUGGAACUGCAGA